CUGGGCUAUGGUGAUAUGUACCCCAAGACCUGGUCGGGGCAUGGUGGUGGGGGGCUCUGUGUGCGCUGGCCGGGGUGCUCACCAUCGCCAUGCCCGUGCCCGUCAUUGUCAAUAAC
rfam:Gallus gallus isolate RJF #256 breed Red Jungle fowl, inbred line TCD001 chromosome 26, whole genome shotgun sequence.